rnacentral:rRNA from 1 species
UACGUAGGUGACAAGCGUUGUCCGGAUUUACUGGGCGUAAAGGCGUGCGCAGGCGGUUUUGUAAGCCAGAUGUGAAAGUCCAGGCUCAACCCUGGGAUGCCGGUCGAUACUGCCGGACUAGAGUUCGGAAGAGGCGAGUGGAAGUUCCCGGUGAUAGCGGUGAAAUGCGUAGAUAUCGAAGAGGAACACCCGUGAGGUGAAGACGGGUUGCUGGGCUGACACGUGACGCUGGAGGCGACGAAAGCCAGGGACGCAAACGGGAUUAG